rnacentral:rRNA from 1 species
UACGGGAGGCAGCAGUAGGGAAUCUUCCGCAAUGGACGAAAGUCUGACGGAGCAACGCCGCGUGAGUGACGAAGGCCUUCGGGUCGUAAAGCUCUGUUGUUAGGGAAGAACAAGUACCGUUCGAAUAGGGCGGUACCUUGACGGUACCUAACCAGAAAGCCACGGCUAACUACGUGCCAGCAGCCGCGGUAAU